GCUCUGGAUCAUCAACAGACGUGCUUGAGAGGAUGUUGAAGAUCUUCUUAAAAUUUGAGAGGCUCACGACACUCGUAGCUCACCUUCUCACUUCCCGAUCUCCAGGCUGAAACCUUGAAGAACUCAUUGAAACCCUACACACUAUUUUUUCUUUCUUUUCUUUCUUUUUCUCUCGGAAGGAUAUAGACCUUCACCUUGCAACCAAGGAUUCCUCACACCC
rnacentral:lncRNA from 1 species